GGAAUCUUGGACAGUGGGCGAAAGCCUGAUCCAGCCAUGCCGCGUGAGUGAAGAAGGCCUUAGGGUUGUAAAGCUCUUUCAGCGGGGACGAUAAUGACGGUACCCGCAGAAGAAGCCCCGGCUAACUCCGUGCCAGCAGCCGCGGUAAGACGGAGGGGGCUAGCGUUGUUCGGAAUUACUGGGCGUAAAGCGCGCGUAGGCGGCGCGUUAAGUCAGAGGUGAAAGCCCGGGGCUCAACCCCGGAAUAGCCUUUGAGACUGGCGUGCUUGAGUGCGGGAGAGGUGAGUGGAAUUCCCAGUGUAGAGGUGAAAUUCGUAGAUAUUGGGAAGAACACCAGUGGCGAAGGCGGCUCACUGGCCCGUAACUGACGCUGAGGUGCGAAAGCGUGGGGAGCAAACAGG
rnacentral:rRNA from 1 species